CUCUCUUAUUUAUCUUCUCGGGUACACUGCUGCUGACCCUUCAUUUUCCACUCACCCUUCACUUUCCUCUCUCUCAUUGUUGCCUUGUAUCUCCCUUUUUCUUUGUCGCAAACCCUAGUGUGGUCAGGUGCCGAAUCUCUGAGUCUGAGAGGCUCAGAUCCACCAAGGUCGACACCAAUUCUUUCCUCCUCCUCGACUCCUCUGCCCACAGUUUCUUCUGCCUCCUCACCUCGCUCUUGCUCAGUGCCGCGAUGCCGGUCCCUGGGACCGGCACCGGUUUCAGCGGCGUGCUCCAGCUCAGCUCGAAGGUGUGCCCCACGCGCCACUUCGGGAGAUCAUGCGGGAAUAGAACAUGAAUUUUAGAGGAGGAGGUAAGGGGUUCGAUGAUGCCAAGGCCGUGGAGCUUCUUGGCAAUCCGUUCAAUGGCGGAGGAGAUCGACGGGUUCGGGUUUGAAUCUCGGGAGUGGAGCAACGAAUGUUGAAUUUGGUUUUGGAUUUGGGGAAUUGAAGAGGGGAAAAAUUCAAUGAAGAAGGAAAGGUGUAUUGAAAGUGGAUAUGAGUUGCAGGAAGCAACAUUUCAGUAGCAGUUACUUACUUCAUGGAACAUGGAUCAAUAAAAAUACGAGGUCCCAAGGGCCUGUUGCCACCCCUUGAUGCUCCACACCAUUUGCGCAAACAUGAAUGGGGUCCUUAUCGAGAAGGUAGGCCUUUGCAUUUUAGGAUAAUUUGUAACAGUUAUAUAGAGUAAUAAGUAGAUAUGGAAGGAUUUGAAACAUAUGGUUUGUGCAGGGAUUGGUUGAGCUUCUUUAAUUUGAGUGACACAUAGCAUUCGAGCUGGUUGUAAAUUGAUCUUUGCUUGUCU